rnacentral:rRNA from 1 species
GACGAACGCUGGCGGCGUGCUUAACACAUGCAAGUCGAACGAAGUGGCGAACGGGUGAGUAACGCGUAAUCAACCUGCCCUUCAGAGGGGGACAACAGUUGGAAACGACUGCUAAUACCGCAUACUGAAGGAGGGGAUUGAGUCUGAUUAGCUGGUUGGAGGGGUAACGGCCCACCAAGGCGAUGAUUAGGCGCCGGCCUGUGAAGCUGAACGGCCACAUUGGGACUUGAACACGGCCCAGCCUCCUACUGGAGGCAGCAGUGGGGCAUCUUUCGCAAUGGACGAAAGUCUGACGGCGAAACGCCGGGUGAGUGAUGACGGCCUUCGGGUUGUAAAGCUCUGUUAAUCGGGACGCGGUACCGGAAUAGAAAGCCACGGCUAACUACGUGCCAGCAGCCGCGGUAAUAC